rnacentral:misc_RNA from 1 species
GUGCGGACACCGACACACACACACACACACACACACGCACACAGAGAAGUGCAUGAGGGAAGGGAAGUAUGUACAACGCCACGGUCAAGACCACCACCGCCGUUUGCUUUCCCGUGCCUUCUUCAGAGAAGCGCCACCCGUGUCUUUCCGAGGGUAUCGAAUGAACGCAGACGCCCAUCACGCCGUGCGGCGUCUCUAUGUCCAGCUGCUGCACGCGCAGCACGGCGCGCAUGACAUCAUGGAAGAGGAAGAGCCUGGUCCGCUCCCGCCGGGCUCCACCAAUGUCCCCACUAACCGUAACCCGCUCUCAACCACCACCUCCCUGGAGCGUAACGGUGCACCAGAGAAAACAGCGCCGGCUCCGAGCCCAAGCUCUCCGGCUGCUGUGGCCGUUGCUUCAUACACGCCUUCCGCACCCUCCCGACAUCUACCGGGGCCAGCAGCCUCGCCAGCGGCAACGGCGCGCUUCGCAUCGAGAGUCGCCUCGGGGUUUUCAAAUGCGCGGUCAUCACACCCUGGCGGGCUGAAGGGAUGGUGGCGGCGGCGGUGUCACCGGUACUCAAGAUCGCCUUCCACAGCUGUCGGCAGUGCGGCGUUAGGGGACGAGGAGGUGACAUCCGCUGCGGAGGUUCGACAAUGGAAGAUGCGUCUAGGGCGCACACUGCGCCAGCGAAGCUUCCAGGUGGAGGAGCAACUUCGGGAGAUGCUGGCGGAGCACUUGCGACAGUGCCUAAAGUCAGGCGUGAUAUCGGCACUCACAGCACCAUCGGAGCAAGGCACACCGGCGAGAUUCAGUGCGCCUUCGCUCCUGCGCGUCCUGUCCACCGGCUAUGCCGUAACCAUCUCAGUUCAAAACGCCAGCGGGGCUGAGGACGGAGUGCGCGGCCAGGAAGCGCACGAUGUCGGUCAGAAUCUGUUUUUCAGUGGCCUGGGUAAAGAGGCGUCCAGCAAGGAUGACACCAGCCGCUAUGUGGACAAUCCACGGCAGCGCGGGGAUGCGUACGAGCAGAGUGCAAGGGAGGCAGAACCCAAAUCGCCGGACAUCCAGGCAGCGCCUCCACGACCACCCGCCUCGAAGCUAGUAGCAGCCACCGCGCCAGCAGCUGCGACUUCAGCACCCAAGGCUGCACCGUCAAAGAAGUCAUCCUUCCAGGCGCAGCUAAAGGCGUGUCAGGCAGACCUCUCUCAGAGCUGGCAGUCCGCCGGCAUGCCGAGCAAUCCACUCGUGCCAGUGCACACAGCUGCUCUGUGCAGUCGACUGAAUGCACACCAAACGGAUGCGGCUGGUGCUACGACCAACACUGAUGCUCUCGCCAAUGUCUCACCCACCACGUACCUCACCCAAGAAGAAGAAAAUAGCGACACGCCUGUCGCAGCACGGCCACCGGCGUGCACGCUGUGGGAGUACUUGCCCAUCUCCUCGUCCUUGCACAUCAGCAUGAGCCCGGCAAUCGAGAAGGACGGAAAACCUGUGACGGCGCCCGCUGCCUUUCAAUCGACAACUUUGCAGUCGCCCAUGGACAAGAUCAGGGCGGCAUGGUGUCGACGUGCGCGCAAGCCUGCGCUUGGGAUACCGCGAGCGCGAAGCAAUGCCGCAGAGGCGGACAAGCGAGCGGCUGCUCCGAACACUGCAGCCCAUGAUCCCAUCGCACUGACGACCGACGGCCACUGGCACAGGCUCCAAGCGCAAGCGCGGGCAGCGCAAGAUGUCUUCCGGGUUCUGCUGGAGGAUGCGGCCUCAUACUCUCAAGACGGCCGGCAAAAGAGCGGCGGCACCACGAAGAAUACUGCUGUGGUGUCACCCUCUAGCCAACCUCCGCCACUGAGCGCUUACGCACCAUUUUCGCACGCUCUGUUGCCUGGAGUCUCCGAGGCGGAGGACUCUGCGACAGCGGUGGUAAUGGUGUGCUACACUGCAGCCCCACACGAUCUGGAUGCUGUGAGCUGGAGCACGGGCACGUGCACUGGAGACGCACCGGCCGAAACUUCGCCCUCAGUGUCACUGCAGCCGACGUGGGUGCUGUGCUUCGAGGUGGACGCCUUGCACGAGGCGUGGCUGCAGCGGACGCUACUGGAAGUGGCGUCAAGAGAGUCGACUUCAUCACCUGAAUCAGUCGCGGCAGCCAGUACUUCUCCCCUUCCGACACCAACGCACGACAGGCUUGACACGACUGUGACAUUGACAGCGCUAAGGGCCAAUGUGCUGGCGUCUCUGCAGUCGAUGUGCGCCUGCAGCUGAUUUCGGAACAUCGUAAGCAACUCGGCUUUGAUCAGCGAUGAAUUUGCGCGGUGCACAUUACUCUUGCCGCGCAUGAUAUGCUCACGCACGCUGCCGCACCGCUCAGUCGUGCCAACCUUCGUUUUGUUCUCUCUUUCCUGCUCUGCUUCCGGCCAUUUCUUUAUUCUGGUUGCGCGUGUGCUUCGCUUGUUACAUGCACGCGUGGACACCUGUAUGCUGACCCGUGUCCCUGAGUCUUUGUGCUUGGUGUAUGUGUGUGUGCCUCCCUGAUGGAUGAGCGGCGCUUGGGUAACACCUUACUCAGCUUGUCAUCUCCCUGCCUCUGGCGCUCUGUAGCCUCAAAGGCGAUCCGAUCUGCACGACGAAGAAGGACCAAUGCCUGCAUGCCUGCGAUUGCAGCGCACCGUCAGUAUCGCACGAGCACACACUCGCAGGCAUGGGCCUAAGGCAUCGGUCAGCGAUGACAAAACCAAGAAAACAGAAACAGCACCGCUCGCCACAUCGCAUCUCCAUCAUCUCUACUCUCCGCUUCCCCACACCUCUGUCGCUGGGACGGACUGCUGUGAGGGGUUCUGGGCGCUGCCAAGGCGCUCGCUAGCCUCUGCAUCUGGGCAAGUGCUCCUCUGCGUGAUGCACGCUGUCUGAUGCACGCAGCAAGCGAUAUCCGGCGUGACGGCGCAGCGUUAGGCCGUCUUUUCACUCCUUGCGUUUUGUUUUUCCCAAUACACGCUCGAUUUGUGUUUACGCAUGACGGGCGUGUCUUCUCUCUGCUACCCUCACCGCCACCCGCCACACACCCCAACACACACACACGCACGCCGGUGUUUAUUCGCGACGACUACGAGCUUCAUUACCCCCCCCUCUUCACUCGCAAG